GACGAACGCUGGCGGCGUGCUUAACACAUGCAAGUCGAGCGGUAAGGCCCUUUCGGGGGUACACGAGCGGCGAACGGGUGAGUAACACGUGGGUGAUCUGCCCUGCACUUCGGGAUAAGCCUGGGAAACUGGGUCUAAUACCGGAUAUGACCAAAGGCUGCAUGGCUUUUGGUGGAAAGGUUUACUGGUGCAGGAUGGGCCCGCGGCCUAUCAGCUUGUUGGUGGGGUAAUGGCCUACCAAGGCGACGACGGGUAGCCGACCUGAGAGGGUGACCGGCCACACUGGGACUGAGACACGGCCCAGACUCCUACGGGAGGCAGCAGUGGGGAAUAUUGCACAAUGGGCGAAAGCCUGAUGCAGCGACGCCGCGUGAGGGAUGACGGCCUUCGGGUUGUAAACCUCUUUCAGCAGGGACGAAGCGAAAGUGACGGUACCUGCAGAAGAAGCACCGGCCAACUACGUGCCAGCCGCCGCAGUAAAAC
rnacentral:rRNA from 1 species